rnacentral:rRNA from 1 species
AACGAACGCUGGCGGCAGGCUUAACACAUGCAGGUCGAACGCCCCGCAAGGGGAGUGGCAGACGGGUGAGUAACGCGUGGGAAUCUACCCAGAUCUACGGAACAACAGUUGGAAACGACUGCUAAUACCGUAUACGCCCUACGGGGGAAAGAUUUAUCGGAUUUGGAUGAGCCCGCGUUGGAUUAGCUAGUUGGUGUGGUAAUGGCCUACCAAGGCGACGAUCCAUAGCUGGUCUGAGAGGAUGAUCAGCCACACUGGGACUGAGACACGGCCCAGACUCCUACGGGAGGCAGCAGUGGGGAAUAUUGGACAAUGGGCGCAAGCCUGAUCCAGCCGUGCCGCGUGAGUGAUGAAGGCCUUAGGGUUGUAAAGCUCUUUCACCGAUGAAGAUAAUGACGGUAGUCGGAGAAGAAGCCCCGGCUAACUUCGUGCCAGCCGCCGCGGUAACAC